GUGGAUUAGUGGCGCACGGGUGAGUAACGCAUAGAUGACAUGCCCUUUAGUUUGGGAUAGCCACUAGAAAUGGUGAUUAAUACCAAAUACCACCCUACGGGGGAAAGAUUUAUCGCUAAAGGAUUGGUCUAUGUCCUAUCAGCUUGUUGGUGAGGUAAAGGCUCACCAAGGCGAUGACGGGUAUCCGGCCUGAGAGGGUGAACGGACACACUGGAACUGAGACACGGUCCAGACUCCUACGGGAGGCAGCAGUAGGGAAUAUUGCUCAAUGGGCGCAAGCCUGAAGCAGCAACGCCGCGUGGAGGAUGAAGGUUUUAGGAUUGUAAACUCCUUUUGUGAGAGAAGGUA
rnacentral:rRNA from 1 species